rnacentral:lncRNA from 1 species
UGCGCUUUUCUAUCUCCUUGUUCUUUUCACUCCUUUCUCUGUUCCGUUCUAGCUCUUUUCCCUUCUGUUGUUUCUCUUUCUCCCUUUCUCUUGCAGGUUCUCGCUCUUUUUCCUUAUGUUGUUUCUCCUUCUCCCUUUCUCUUGCAGGUUCUCGCUCUUUUUCCUUCUGUUGUUUCUCCUUCUCCCUUUCUCUUGCAGGUUCUCGUUCGUGGUCCCUUUCAUGGUCAGCAUUCGCCUUAUCAUUCUGCGUAGGUUUAUCUUUCUGAAGCUUUUCUUUUUUGUCUUUUAUUAUUUUUUGCAGCUCAUCUACAUUCUUCGUAAUUAGAUCAAAAG